GUCAAAUCCGGAGCCAAACGUUCGGUGAUGGUGACACAGUUGUCAGUGGUCCGUCUGUUUACCUCCUGUCCCCCUUCUUCUGUCCAUCACCAUUGUAGAAGAGUAACCGUCUUCCUAUGACAACAAGGCAAAGAGGUUCUGCUGCAACAGAUAAAGAAUUCCACAAAGAAGGAAUAAUCUCAUUGAAGCAGCACGUUGUAGAAGCCUUUGAAAAUGUAAUGAAAUAUUUUUUUUCUUCAUGUUUUGUUCUUGGAACUUGACUUUUACUGUAUUUGAUUAUGUCUCCAUCUGCAGCAACACUGCCCUCUGCCUUUGUUUGUAGUUUCUUUUUUAUGUUUUUAUUUUCACUUGGAAUCUUUCUUGGUGGAAUUUUUACACAGAGGGAAUCAACAAGUUUAAGAGUGACGCAUUUUGGUUGUAAAGUUAGCUUUUGGGGAUGGAAGAGUUUACAAUGUUGCUGCAUUUCUAGUGAAAUUUUGAGCAUUUUUAGCCAAGAGUUUUUCUGUCUAUCCCUUUUUCAGAAUAUCUGGACAGAGAGCUCAGAUUUAAUCUGAUUCCUAUUGUAACUGUAAUGGCAUGCUGUUACAGUCUUGGUCAUCAGGGGGACAAGAUUUUGAUUUUAUUUUUAAACUGUCUCCCCUUGGACUACACUUGAAAACAUACUGAUAACACAAAUGUGUUUCGGACACAUUAUUUAUCAACGCAUUUAACAGUUGAUAAGAAAUUCUUCAAGCCUUUCCAGUCACAUGUUUUAUUUUAAAUCCAACCCAGCUUCCAAUUAAAACUGCGACAAUGCUACAUGCUAACAAAUGCCACAUCAUGUAAGAAAUAAAGUUAGAAAACAUUAGUGUGGAGUUUACCUUCUAAACUUAAAAACUAAUAAAAUUUGUGAAGCCUGAUUUAUCCUUUCUCCGAAUCUCAGUGAAGACUUUGGAGCUGCUCUUCAGCAACGUGCUGUUUGUACACACACUCAGGGAGCAUCACUCUGUGCUGACUGGAGUGGAGGCAGAAAUAAAUUCUUAGUGCCCAUCAGUCAGAGACGUAGGUGUGAUCUUUCUUCCUCGACACUUUCACACUGAGACUAUAAACUGAUCUCUGCCACCAGGGGAACAAAGCAGAUUUAACAGACGGUAUAAAAGAAGCAGCUGCAGAAUACCAGAGCAGAGUCACUGCUAACCAUAGUAGCUGGUUGGAAGUAAUGUAGCCCAAAAGCUAUUUAUAUAAAACAUUUGGGUUAUUGCAACUAAAGUAUUUUUUAUCUUACCAAAAUAUUAUGAUCUCUUUUAGAAUCAAGGUAUUUUUGCCACAAUAUUUUGGCUGUUUUGUCUUUUUCAGCAUUUUUUUUUUCAACAAUUAUUUAGUUAACUAUCUUUUGUUUGUACCCUUGUAGGCUAACCUUUAGCCUUUGGUCUAUCUUUUGUAAAUUUUUAGCCAAAUAUACCAAUCCUGUCGUUGCUGCCAAAUGUCUCUGUAAACUGUUACUGUCCAAUUUGUAUUUUGGUUGGUAUUUCUAUAAACUGGUUUAACAUUA